AAGCUGUAGCAAAAUAGAUCGAUCUAAGAAGUUUACUAGCCAGUUGUGAGAUUUUCAUCUUUGUCGACAGAUCUGCUUACCAAAAUUCUUACAUUC